AAAUUAAUCGCUGGUAAAUCAAGCUUUUUAUGGGCAAAUGUUAUUAGAAUUCACAGUUCUAUAAAUAUUCAUACAAACAAUUGGACACGGAAUUGUUUUAUGUAGUGGUAUAUACCGGAGUCUAUGCAUUUCCGUUAAAAACAUGCUUGAACAAUCAAGUUAGUACCAACACUGCCUAUAAUAGGUUAUACAGGCGUAAAGCGGGACAAUUUUUACUAGUCGUGAUAUUAUCAGCUAUUGCUUUACUUCACUCAACGAAAGCAGAUGGUUGUCGUAAAGGUUUUCAUUUUAAUGAAAGUUCUGUGAAAGAAGUCUUUGCUUGUAUAAACGUAAUAAAAGUUAUAAAGAUGAAAAAAAGGCCGAUAUCCUCUAUAUAAUGCACUUAAUAUCAGCAUAAUAUCAUUACAACUCUUAUACAAGCCACGAUGAAUAAGUCACUUCUUCUUUUGCUCGCUGUCGGACUUCUCGUCUUGAUCGAAACUGGGCAUGCUAUCCCAGUCGGCCGCCGUCGUCAGGGUUCCCCACCAUCACAAAGGACAGGAUGGGAUUGGAAUCAAAGAAACCAAAUGGUUUCAGUUGAAGACAUCCAAGCCGUAGCCGAUCUCCUGAACGCUGAGAUGCAAUAGAUGCACCGCAACUUUAUGUAUUAUUUAUAUAAACUGUAUAAUACACGUUUAUUUAAAUAAAUGCUGCAAGAAUCUAA